UACGUAGGGUGCAAGCGUUAAUCGGAAUUACUGGGCGUAAAGCGUGCGCAGGCGGUUAUGUAAGACAGUUGUGAAAUCCCCGGGCUCAACCUGGGAACUGCAUCUGUGACUGCAUAGCUAGAGUACGGUAGAGGGGGGAUGGAAUUCCGCGUGUAGCAGUGAAAUGCGUAGAUAUGCGGAGGAACACCGAGUGGCGAAGGCAAUCCCCUGGACCUGU
rnacentral:rRNA from 1 species